rnacentral:rRNA from 1 species
CGUGUAGGCGGAGAUGCAAGUCAGGAGUGAAAUCCCGGGGCUCAACCCCGGAACUGCUUUUGAAACUGCAUCCCUUGAGUAUCGGAGAGGCAAGCGGAAUUCCUAGUGUAGCGGUGAAAUGCGUAGAUAUUAGGAGGAACACCAGUGGCGAAGGCGGCUUGCUGGACGACAACUGACGCUGAGGCGCGAAAGCGUGGGGAGCAAACA